CGGAUAUUAAAUUGCAAAAUUUUCAUUAUUUUCUUUCAUCAAUUCGCUGCGAAAAUUUUCCGAUGUUGAAUUACUUCUAAUAUAUGAAAAUAUCACAGUCACUUUCUGUUGACUUUUGGACUUUAUUGUAUUCACCAUUGAUAGUAUUCAUAUUCCCACCGAUUGGCAACAAGUUUAUAAAUGCAUUGAAAAUGGCCGCCUGUUGUCGACGUCCGAAGUAUUCCACUUAUAUUAGAACAAUUCAGAAAAUUCAGCAAUUAUGUACUGGAACAUCUGAAACUACUAAGAUAAGUUCAACUACUGAACUUAAUAAGACAAGUAAAACAAAUGAUUAUAAAGUUCCAGAAUAUUAUAAGCAUGAUAAGUGGAC
rnacentral:lncRNA from 1 species